rnacentral:rRNA from 1 species
GACGAACGCUGGCGGCGUGCUUAACACAUGCAAGUCGAACGAAGAGCGAUGGAAGCUUGCUUCUAUCAAUCUUAGUGGCGAACGGGUGAGUAACGCGUAAUCAACCUGCCCUUCAGAGGGGGACAACAGUUGGAAACGACUGCUAAUACCGCAUACGAUCUAAUCUCGGCAUCGAGGAUAGAUGAAAGGUGGCCUCUACAUGUAAGCUAUCACUGAAGGAGGGGAUUGCGUCUGAUUAGCUAGUUGGAGGGGUAACGGCCCACCAAGGCGAUGAUCAGUAGCCGGUCUGAGAGGAUGAACGGCCACAUUGGGACUGAGACACGGCCCAGACUCCUACGGGAGGCAGCAGUGGGGAAUCUUCCGCAAUGGACGAAAGUCUGACGGAGCAACGCCGCGUGAGUGAUGACGGCCUUCGGGUUGUAAAGCUCUGUUAAUCGGGACGAAAGGCCUUCUUGCGAAUAGUGAGAAGGGUUGA